rnacentral:lncRNA from 1 species
CUGAAAAACACUGGGAGGGUUUUGUUGCUAUCAGUUACCAAAGUAUUUCUGUAGCAUGAAAUUGAAGGCAUGUGCUACACAUAUGGAUGUGGCUUUGAGGCAUACAGGAAGCAAAGCUCAGAGCAAGUAGGAACUCGGGAUACCCUGUCACAAAUACAUGUGGUGAAGUCCAGAUAUCAAGUUUCCUUGGACAAUGAACAAUUUUAAUUCAUCUUUCCAAUGGACAUAGAAGAACAGAAAAGAACACAGUACAGCUCCAGUGAACCUCAUCAUUUCUGAGCACCCAGAGUAUUCAGCACAUCAGAAAGAAUAUCACUACAGAACUGUCUACGCUGUCAGCAGUACAAGUUACAGAAUGAAUUACUACUGAAUCUCAAUUUAGGGAUCAGGAGAGGAUGUGCUGAGUAAGUGAAAACACAGAAGCAAAGCGACAUGCCAUGGCUUUGUGGAUAUGUGGAUACAAGCAAUUACAGCUUAAUAGAUGUGGGUAAGCUGGUGAACAGAUAGAGGUUCUGCACUUCUUCAUGGUUUGCCCAAAGAUCAACAUUCUAAAUAUACCUUAUCUAAGACAACAAAUAAUGAAAUUGUCAAGUGAACUUGAACAUCAGAAUAAAUUUGAGAAAUCUCCUUAUAUCAAAAAGAAGCUUCAGAAAAAAAAUAGCAAGACAAGUUGUAGUUAAGUGCUGAAGAAUGAAAGGAUUGCUUUCCAGCAUUUUUAUUCCAGCUUCAGCAUAUUUUAUUUUAUAUAUAUAUAAAUAUAUAUACACACAUAAUUACAUACAUAUAUACACACACACACAUAUAUCUAUGCAGUGUUUUUCCCUCAAGGAAUAAGCCAUCUUAUUUAUGUCAUAGCUGAGAGGUGUGAAUUUCCUUCGCGCUUUAUCCAGCUUCAUAGAUGAAUCCCUGUUGGCAGAUCACACUGCACAGAAGACUGGUGAGUGACAGAGGCCACUGAUUACUAAUGGCCACAUCAGGAGGAAUUGCACUGUGAGGGAAGAUACCCACUUCCUCCUCAUCCCUAAUUUUGGGGUCUUGUUUCUAGAGAGUCCAUUGGAAGGAUUCACAUGGGGGACAGAGAAAUAAAAUACUAUCCACGUUCAUAAAAAGGUGUUUUCCUAAGCAACCACACUUCCCUCCCCCUCUAAACUCAAGGAGUGAGAAUAAAGCCUCCUGACAGGCUAUUCUCUUACUGUGCCAUGUUUCAAAGCCUUAUAAGGAGAAGAAACUGUGGCAUAAUUAAUACAUUGGAUAGCUGAAGACAUUACUGAAUCGUUAAACUGCAGCAUUUAACUGCAGUUAAAGUAUUCUUGGCCCCUAGGUCUUUACCAUUGUAUAAUCAUGAUCAGCUGUUUUAGAUAAACUAUGGAGAAAGUAAGAUAAAUCUUCCCAAAAUUUACAGUGAAGAAUAAAAUUCAGCAUAUAGCUUUCCCCUGCUCAUGGAAUUGAAUCAAUCAAUACUGCAUUAUGCUAUUGCUGGAGUGCAUAGUAGCAAUCACUGUUUGACAGUAAGGGUAUUUUGCACAGCAGUGAAGGUUAUCUAUAUAAUUUGUUUUAAACCUUUGGGUUCCCUAUGUUAGUCCUUUGGGAGAACUGCAGGAAACCUUGCUCUGUACAUUUUCUGUUUGCUGAAAAUUGUAACAUAGUCAUCAGAAAAAGAAAAAGAGAGAAAGAGAGAAAGAGAGAAAGAGAGAAAGAGAGAAAGAAAGAAAGAAAGAAAGAAAGAAAGAAAGAAAGAAAGAAAGAAAGAAAGAAAGAAAGAAAGAAAGAAAGAAAGAAGGAAAGAAAGAAAGAAAGAAAGAAAGAAAGAAAGAAAGAAAGAAAGAAAGAAAGAAAGAAAGAAAGAAAGAAAAGAAAAAAAAAUCAAAAGGAUAACAAAGCUUUGCUAAUAGGAAUGAUCCAUACACCCAGACAGAUGCGUUUUCCUGUGGACAGUGGAAAGAAUGCAGAUGUAAUUGGAACCCAUUGGAACCCAUUUUUGCCCAGGAGAUCUCAGAUGGAAGUCUGGAAGUCCUGACUGAAAAAAAUGAAGUGGAAUUCAGAGCAAUUUUUUGCCACUUCUUUCCAAUUCAGUUUUCAGCACGACUACAAAGGGACUUCUUGCUUCAGGCCAGGCUGGAUGAUUUGUGAAGCCACGGAAGUAAAAAUAAAGUAAAGCUGUCCUUCAAGAAACUGAAUAAACUGUUUUGGUUGAGUGUGUGGUUUUCUAAAUACAUGCAGAAAGAUGUAUACCCCAAACAUGUAUUUAGCAGAAUGGAUUUUGUUAAUGUCAAUAGCUAAAUACCAUAUUGGUUUGUUUUAUCAGCAUGCACAAUACUUACUUUUUAAAUGAUUCCAUCACUGUAUGUGGUUUAUGUAAAGCAAGUAAACUGAGAUUUCAUGUAAUUACAGUAAUUAAAAAGAGAGGUGGACAGGGCAGACUAUUUGUUAUACCAUGUAUGAUAAGAAGAUAGAGGCACCAUUCAAAGAGUUAUGACUUGUUAGUGAGUAGUAGACUCUUGAAAUUGUCAAGAAGUGUUGUUUGAAAAAAACAAAUGAAGAGAAGCAGAUAAAAUCAUCUAUUAUUAACUAAUGUAAGCAUAUGAAUUUCAGCGUGCAGCAUGCUUGCUACCGAUAGUCAUGGUGCAUUGUUACAGUGAAUUAAUAACAUUGUCACAAUGGAUAAUAUCACAUUUUCUGGCUAUACAAGUGAAAGGAAAACUAUCAGAAUUUCACAAUAACAGAGAAGCUUUGAAAUUAAAAUAAUAAUAAUAAAAGCCUACAAACUCACCACCAUUAAGUUACAUUCUUGAGUGGUGGGCAGUAUAACCUUGGCCUACUAUAGUAAAUGAAAGAGCACCAACCUGUUUGUAGGAGAUACGUGUUUUGCAUGCAUAUCUUAGUUGAUUUUAAUCUUUCUGAUUGAAUUUAGGGUGAAUAUUAAAAGCAAACUCAUAAUUUUUUGCACUUGAUAUUUCCAGUGGAAGGAGCACUGCCUAGUACAAUAUCUUCUAAUAAAAUAAAAUAAAAAUUCAUAAUUAUAAAUAAAAUAAAAAUUCAUAGUUGACUUCAGCUUCUCAACAGUGUCUAUGAAAUUUACUCCUAUUUGGUUUGUCUUUCUUCAUCACUGCCAAAAUAGAUCCUUUGUAUCUGUAUCUACAAUAAUGUACACCAUCUCCCUCAUAGGUACUGAACAUCCUAGACACCUCCAAAUCAAUCAUAAAUUAGUGAGGCAAAGUUAGUUAAUUUAAGUGAGUUUAAGCAAUGAUAACUUAAUGGAGGGACUUGUAAACCACAGCAGAAAUGUAAUGUUUAUGGAUUUUUUACAUAAAUGGAAGAAAAACAGGAUUUUUCAAUUUCUUCUGGGAAAAAAAAAACAGCAACAACAACCAUGAAGUGAAAAUGAGAACAUGGGAAGGGAGCAGUGCAGUGCUGAUUUGUCCUCUCACAGCCACAGCACUUAUUUAGAUGCAUCAAGACUCACACGUAUUGCACAUUACAUGCGCUUCUGUCGCUUGCUGAGUAAAAUGCAGUGAUUGUCGAUAUUAGUAUUUCAACCUGUCUAAUGGCAAACCCCAAAAAAACCAAAACUCUGGAUGAAGGAAGAGUGUUAAACAAAAAAUGGUCAGAUUAGUAAUUUUUUUUUCAAGACAAAUAAUAUGGCACUCUGCUUAAUUUGCAAGGAAAUGAUGUCAGAUUUCAAACAAUACCAUUUGAAAAGAUAUUAAGUGCAGAAACAUGCUGACAAAUUCAAUGAAUAUCAAAGAAUGCCUCAUAAAGACAAAACAGUGGAACUGAAAACAAAGUCUAUCACCUCAACGCAAGCUUUUUUAAAAAGUUAAAUGGACUGUUGUAAAAGCUAGUGACAUGGUAACAAAUCUGAUGGCAAAAAAUCAAAACCAUUUACUGAUGGUGAGUUUAUUAAGCAGUGAAAGAAAAGC